AUGAAAUUAAAAUUAUUAAAUAUAAUUUUAUCAAUAAUAAAUAAACUUAAUAAUAAUAAUAAUAUUAUUAUUAAUAAUCUAUUAGAUUCAUUAAUAAAUAAGAAAUUAUUAUUAAAGAAUAUAUUAUUAGAUAUAAAUAAUAAAAAAAUAAAUAAUAUAAAAAGAAUAUUAAAUAAUAAUAAUAUAAAUAUUAAUAAUAAAUUACAACAUUUAAAUAAUAUAAAUAAUUGAAAUCUACAAAUUUAUAAUUAUAAUAAAAAUAUAGAAAUUAUAAAUACUAUAAAUGAUAAAUUAAUUAAUAAAUUAUUAUAUAAAAUAAUAACUUUAAAAUUAAAUAAUAUAAACCCCGCGGGACCAAUCCGGUGAACAACCGGAUUGGCAAUCCGGUGAACAACCGGAUUGGCGCCCGCGGGGAAUAUUAAUAAAAUUAUUAUAAGUAAACUUAUUAAUCAACAUAGUUUAAAUAAAUUAAAUAUUAAAUUUUAUUAUUAUAAUAAUGAUAUUAAUAAUAAUAAUAAUAAUAAUAAUAAUAAUAAUAAUUAUUAUAUAAAUAUAAUAAAUAAAUUAAUAAAUAUUAUAAAUAAUAAUAUAAAUAAUAAUUUAUGUAAUAUUUUAAGUUAUUAUUAUAAUAAAAAAGUAACUAUUGAACCUAUUAAAUUAUCAUAUAUUUAUUUAAAUAGUGAUAUUUUUAGUAAAUAUAUUAGUUUAAAUGAUAUAGAUAAAUAUAAUAAUGGUAUCUUAACUAAUUAUCAACGUAUAUUAAAUAAUAUUAUGCCUAAAUUAAAUGAUCAUAAUAUUUCUAUAAAUUAUAUUAAUAAUAUUAAUAAUAUUAAUAAUAAUAAAUAUAAUAAUAUAAUUAAUUUAUUAAAUAAUAAUAAUAAUAUUAAUAAUAAUAAUAAUUAUAAUAAUAAUAAUAAUAAUUAUAUUGGUAAUAUUAAUAAUAUUUAUAAUAAUAUAACUAUUGAUAAUAUUCCUAUAGAUAUUUUAAUAUAUAAAUAUUUAGUUGGUUGAUCUAUUAAAUUUAAAGGUAGAUUAAGUAAUAAUAAUGGUAGAACUAGUACACUUAAUUUAUUAAAUGGUACUUUUAAUAAUAAAAAAUAUUUAUGAAGUAAUAUUAAUAAUAAUUAUAAAUUAAAUUAUAUCCCUUCUAAUCAUAAUUUAUAUAAUAAUUCUAAUAUUAAUAAAAAUGGUAAAUAUAAUAUUAAAGUUAAAUUAAACUUUAUUUAA
rnacentral:rRNA from 1 species